rnacentral:rRNA from 1 species
GAUGAACGCUGGCGGCGUGCCUAAUACAUGCAAGUCGAGCGAACGGACGAGAAGCUUGCUUCUCUGAUGUUAGCGGCGGACGGGUGAGUAACACGUGGAUAACCUACCUAUAAGACUGGGAUAACUUCGGGAAACCGGAGCUAAUACCGGAUGAUAUUUUGAACCGCAUGGUUCAAUAGUGAAAGACGGUCUUGCUGUCACUUAUAGAUGGAUCCGCGCUGCAUUAGCUAGUUGGUAAGGUAACGGCUUACCAAGGCAACGAUGCGUAGCCGACCUGAGAGGGUGAUUGGCCACACUGGAACUGAGACACGGUCCAGACUCCUACGGGAGGCAGCAGUAGGGAAUCUUCCGCAAAGGGCGAAAGCCUGACGGAGCAACGCCGCGUGAGUGAUGAAGGUCUUCGGAUCGUAAAACUCUGUUAUUAGGGAAGAACAAAUGUGUAAGUAACUGUGCACAUCUUGACGGUACCUAAUCAGAAAGCCACGGCUAACUACGUG